CCCAUCUCACUUCACUUUGUCGCGUUAUUUUGCCCUUUGUCUCUCUCUAAAUUUCGUAUCCCUCUCCAUACAACACACAAAUCUACAAUCGAUCGACCUAGCCCUCUUCUACAAGAUCCUUUUGGCGCACGAUUAAGGUUCAAUUCAGGUAAUAAUCCUAUGCAAUCGGUCAACCUAUCCCUUUUAGGUAACGAUUUCGAACAUGAUAUUUUCUUCAAUUUGUAAAUUAUACCUGCUGAAUUUUUUGUACGAGUAUAUGGUUGUAUGAAUCUGCCCUAACAGUUUCCUUCAUCUUGCCAAAUUAGCUCUCUACCUUGUUUGAAUCGUAGUUUUUUUUUCUCUUCAUCUGUCUUUAAUAGUAGAGAAUUUUGAACUUUGUUGUUCAUUAUUUUUAGGGCUUUUUAGAACUUUUUGAACAUUCAGUGUGGGGUAGGAUUUUGAAUUUUGUUCAAAGUGUUGUUGCCUUUAAUUUACUACUGUUUUUAAGGUAAAUAUCUUACUAAUGUGUACUUGUUUCUUUAAUUUACUGAGGGUUUAAAAAUUAUCUUAGUGUUGGUUUUGGCUUCUUAAAUAUUGCAAGCUAGGUGUUUGUUAAAAUAACUUAAAGAAUCAAAAAUCUAGCAUCUUGUCAUUUCUAUGUGCAUAUACUUUUUAGGAUGCAAGUAAGAAAAUCUGCUGUAAUGCCACAAAAUUAAUAAAUUUAUUAUGCUGACAGAUAAAAUGAUGAUGUUCAAUGUCCACUAUAAUUUGGGGCAAUUUUUUUUAACUAUUAGUCUGUAGGAAUAUCUUAAAAUUGAAAUUAUAGCUCCGCAAACUUGCUCCAUAUGAUUCUUGCACUCUAAAACGCUUUUGUAGAGGCCAUGGUGGUAUUUAAAGGCAAUGUAUAUUUGAGGAGCCAAGCCCACAACCUUCUUACAAUAUAAGCCCGGAUGGUCAUCCACAUGAUAGAGAAUAUUACCUCAUAUCCCUUUUUGUUGUUCCUAGGCAUUUUUAUUUGAUAUAGUGCAUGUUGACAGUUGUGAUAUGGUGCAUGUUGAUAGUUGUGAAUGUAUUAAAAUAAUUGACAAAGUUGGAUUGCCUGUUUGAUGCACUAGUAAAGUGUCUUGUCUGCUCUAUUCGAGGAAAUAAAAUCUUCAAUAUAUGUGAAAUAGUCAGAGACUCGGAACAAACAAGAAUCUCCCCUGCAUUUUAGCUGAUAACAGGACUUCUUUUCUUAAAUAGUUAGCUAGCCUUGUUUUCAAGGUCUAUGCGUCCCAUAAUCUUUAGUAUCGUUAUUAAUGUGUGCUUGUUUAUAAAAUUUUUCAACAUUAUAAUAUUGAAGCAAGCGAGCCUACUAAUCUGCAACUUUGACUUAUUGUUUAUACCAUACUCUGUUUUUUCCAAGUCAUUUUGUAAUGAACCAAAGACCGCUGGAAGGAUGUUUUAUGAUCUUGAGCUGUUGAAAAUUGUUCUUUCUGAAGAAGCUUGUUAAUAAUGUUGUUCUAUUGCUUACCUUUAUAAGUUUUGUGGUAUAUCUUUAAAUUAUCUGGUAAUUAGUCACCUUUUUUCAAGCAGAUUAUACCAUGAAUUUUUGAAAUCUUUUUGACAGAGUCGACCGAACCCCAUUGUCAGUUCGUCAUAGCCGCCUCAUUUAUAUUUCUGAUUUUGCUAUAGACAUUUUCAGUGUUAGUUCAACUUAUCUUAAGCAAUCCAAACUAUUCCCCAAUAAGUGUUUGAUUUCUAAUAUCCUAAUAUUUUGUUUCUGUUCAACUGAUUUUGUAGUAGCAGUUGAUAGAUACUUUGAAGGCCCAGUUUGUUGCUUACCAAGUACUUCAUAAGGAGUUAGCAGCGAAGUUGACCAAAUUGACAGAAUUAGUUGAGAAUCAACAGGUACAAAAAGGGCAAGUUAUUGAUGUUGAAGUUUAUGUUUUUAUUUCAAUUUUGUUCAUUAAAAAUUAUUAAUAACACAAAAAUUGGAUAAUAAACUUUAGUUUCCUCUCCAGCUUUUUAAUUAUUUUUUGAAAUUACUAUCCUUUUUUAUUUUCUUAGUCUUGAGGGUGAGUAUAGUUUUUUUUGGAACAAUGAAACUUGGCUUUAAGGCACUUCCUAGCAAUAUCAAGGCACUUUUAGCUGCACAUGAUGAUUCAUCAAGAAUUGACCAGUGGAGCAUUUCAGGCCUUCGGACACCAAAGUAUAAUAUUUCAACUCUAAAAAUGAAGCUUGCAGAAGAUGAUAACUUGGAUGUGAACUAUGCUGAUGAUAUAAUUUUAUUUAAUUGUUGAAAAUAAAAAUUUUAUUUUAAAUAAUAAUUUGUAUGUUAUUUGCAAUACAAAAUAUAAGACUUUUUUUGUUGAAUAGAUCACAAAUGCUAGAGUGACACUUCUUUGUUCUGCAAUUUGUUUAUUUAAAUUUGUUCUUAGUUAAUUUAUGACAUCCUAAAAUUCAAAUUAUAAUGUCAAUUUAUUUAUUGUUUUCAAAUAUUAAUUUUAUUUUUAAAAUACUUCUUAAAUAAUAUAAAUAUCAAUAUCAAUGUAAAAGGUUAAACGAUGUCGUGGGUUAACAGCGGUGUGAUACAAAUUGUUUUUUUCCUCUUUCUUAAAUAGUCCAAAUCUGUCGUUUGCUUUUUUGUUUCAGAUAGAAAGACAAGUUCAUUCUCUUUUUAUUCUUCAAUCGAUCCCACCGCCUAGCUUCGCUCGCCUCUCGUGUCCUCCAUCACAGGUUCAUGUCCCUUUUCUCUCUCCUCUAUCUCAUACAUCUAUCCUCUGAAAUUGAUUUUCAUUUUCUAGGAUAAUUUUUUUCUUUUGCUGCUCUCUUUCAAUUCAGUAAGACAUCUAAUAUCAGUUUAUUUAUUUGUAAUUUUUCACUUGGUUCAUCCAUUUGUGCUCAAUCAAAUCUGAUUUUGGUUAUAUGUGGUGAUUUUGGUGCUCAGUCAAUUUUAAUUUUGGAUAUAUGUGCACCAAAUGUUUGAUGUAUUGUCCAUCUGUUGCACUAGCUUGUACAUUAUAGCUACAAAUUUAAUGUCAGCAUAACCCUCCCAAUUUUAAAUUUAAGUAUAAACUUAAUCCAUUUCAUUUGGAUACUCUGAACCAUGUUUUGGAAUUGAUUUGUCUAAUGUGAACUUUUAUUUGUAAAACUCUAUAUGCCCAAACUUAAUUAUGAAGCAGACGUUUGGUUGACCAUAAAUUUGUAAUUGUUUCAGCUUUUUAAAUGUAAAUAUCUAAUUCUUUGUUAUUAUAUUAUUAAUUAUACAACUUUAACAUUCUUUAACAUUAUAUACACCCGGAGAACUUGAAUGGUGCAUAACAUGUACCUUUUUGUUUAAAUGCCAAAAAGAGGGUAGACACCUAUAUUUUAACAAACUAUGUUUUACUAAUUAAGCUUAAUCUCUAAUUGGAGUUGGGUCCAGUUUACAAUUUAUAAAGUCUUUCGAAAACAAAAGGUGAGGUGACUAAUGUUUUUUUAACAUUUAUAAUUGCAAGCUUCUUAAGUUAAUUAACAUAUGGAUUUUAAUUUUGGAAAGAGGAAUGAGUUUUUGGCAAUAUCCUGUUAGCAAAUUAAUGUGUAUUCAUGCUUUCCUCUUAAAUUUUUCUUUUUAAUUGUUGUUUACUAAUUGAAUUACUAUACAGAAUGAGUUGAGAUUUCAGUUGUUCUGGUCUCCCAUUCAUUGUCUCUCUGUCUCUUGUAAGUUGCGACGUAGAACCAUUUUGUUAGCUCUAUAAAGUUCGUAAGUGAUGUUUCUCAUUUUUCAGGUUGUUGGUUAUUAUAGACUGAGCAGCCUUAAUAGUUCUAUUUUGCUUAGUGUAUGCUCUUUUUUUUGCUACGAUUACGUCUUUAUUCUCAUGUCGAAGUGUACAUUGGAAUGAUGUCAAACACUUUGAUGAGUGAAUAUGCAUUACAUUCAACACAAGUACAUGCAUAAAGUAAAAUAUCCGGCAAUUUUAUUAUUAUGUAGAGAAUAUUUUUGUCAUGAUAGCAACUGCUAAAAUAGAGUAUGCAUGUGCUCUCAUCUCAUCAGCAUCGUAUCAAGCUUUUUUUAUUAUUUAUAAUUCUAGUGACUUUAUAGGUCAGUGUGACAUACCCAUAUUCAACUGUGCUACAACAUAAUCUCACGACUAUAAACACAUGAUGAGUUGAAACUAGAAUAGAAAAUAAUCAAUACCGGGAAAAAUUGUAUGGUUAGCUACAAUCCAAUUUCAGAUCAAAGCUGAUGUGAAUGUGUAUUUCUCUCAAUCAGAUAUAUUCCUUCCUCUCUGCAUUAUGGAACUCUGUUUAUCUCUAUUUUUCUCGAAUUAAUUACUAUUUUUCCCAUCUUUGCACUAGAAGGGAUCAACGAUCUGGUGGGUUGAUGGUUUUUUUUAAAGAUUGUGUAGAAAGUUCAUUAACCCUCUAUUCUAAUGUUUUUAAUUGAUUUGAUGGGUUACUCCCUGCUCAACUUAGCUUUGGGCUUUAUGUUUAUGCCGAGUAGAACGUCAAGUACUCUCAAUUUAUGUUCUUUAUCUUUUACAGAUCUUAUUCUCUACAUGCAUGUUGGGUCGUAGUUCUUUGCAGUUCAUUUAAUUGGAGUGUACCAAUAUUUUUAUUUUUGUAAACUGUGUAGAGGAUUCCUAGUUUGACUUAAACAUGUUUAAGCAUCAACUUUAGUUUAAGCCUUUAAUGUCAUAAUUCCCAACUUUCAAGUGUCUUUUUGCAAGUUACUCAACAUUAAAGCAAUUGAAGUGCACUUAAUUAUUCAUUUACUAUUUAAUUCAUGGUGUUACAGAUGGUUGUGAAAGGGAUUGCUAAAGACUUCACGAAUAAUGAAAAUAUCAACUUCGAGGAAAAUUGGCCCAAUAUACCCUCUCCGGUUUGAGUUUAAGGGUUUUGAUAUUUCAACUUUUUAUUCUAUAAAAUACUUUUUUAGUUUUGAGGUUUUGAGCACAUAAGUUUCUUGGGAUUGUGUUAUAGUACUCUUACUUGCUUACACUUGUUCACCAAUUACCGAAAAUAGAUAGCUGCAUGAUUUAGGAAUUAGACUAUUGAUAAUGAUUAUGCUGACUACGUCUGCUUCUAGAGAUUGAGAACGAGUGUCAAACAAAAGGAAAAAACUUGGAGAUGUUAAAGUUAUUUUGGAACUGCAUUAUUGAUAGUGAUUACACUGGCUACAUCUAAGUUCUGGUGAUAUACUAUGUUCGUUGCAGAACAAUUAGCAAUGCUCAUUACGCAACAAAAGACGCAACGACAGUGAAGUCGUUGCCAAAACCCUUUUGCAACGAAAUUUGGCACCUUUAGCAACAAAAAUUGGUUGUUGCUGAAGUCCCAUUUUUUUGUAGUGCAUUUACUCUAAGACCUCAUUCACGUGUAUUUCAAAAUGGCUAGCCUAUGUUCUUCAUUUUCUUCCAACUCCCAAGCUCAUGAUCAUGAGGGAGUGAUGAUUAUGAUGAGUUCCAACAAUCAAUCUAACAACUCCUCCAUAACCUUCAUGCAAUCCUACAAUCCAUGGGUUUGAUUCAAUGGAAAAUUUCUAUGUCUGUGUAUUGAUUUUUCUAUAAAUAAGAGCUCCUUCCAUUUUUCCAAGUGUUGAGAAUUGCUAAGUGAGAGUUGAGAGCAUACAAGUAAUCUAGAGCUUGAGAGUUCAUUAGGAGCAAGUUCAUUGUAAUUAUAAAGGUAUAAAAUUCCUUCUUAUUCUUCAUUUUCAGUUUCUGUUAAAUUUCCAUUCUUGAAAUUCAAAUUCUUGAUUUUGUGGAAUUGGUUGCUAAUGAGGUUGGGUAAUGUCCAUAUAGUUGUUAUAUGACCAUAUAAGCAUGAUGCAACUGAUAUAUGAUGGUUUAAAAUCGAAAUCAUGAGUAAUUUUUGAGGUUGGGCUGGAGUUCUGCCGAAGCAGACUGCUUCUGCGCCUGAAUCAGGCAUGACGCAGCUACGCCACAUUUGUAUUGAGGCGCAUCGCAACUGCGCCGGUUGCUGAAUUCAGUUGAGCAGUCAAUUUUCAAAUCUGAUCAAUAUUGGCUAGUUGUUUUGACUCAAGCUAGCAUGUAAGCAUGUGUAUGAUGUAUAUAUGGAUACGUUAACCUAAUGUGAGCAUGUUUAGACUAGACUUGCAUGAUUAACGAAGGCGUAUGAUUUACAUGGAGAUUUAGACUAAGUUUUGAAAACAAACUAUGUUAAAUAUCAUGUUCUACAAAUUGUGAACCUAGUAAGCUAUGCAUGACUAAUUUUGCACAUAGAUGAGUAUGUUGUAGUGUAUAUAGUUCUUUUGAGCAUGUUCAAACUUACUAAGCCUUAUGUUAGAAAUAUUUUCAAUAAGAAGCUUAGCCUAGUGAGCUAACAUGCAUGAUUUUUAAAUGGUUUAUAUUUUGACUUUGAAAGCAUGUGAGUAUGACUUGGAAAUGCAUGAAUAAACCUUUAGCUUAUUUUUAUUUGAUUAGUAAGGAAACAUGAGCAUGUUGAACCUAUUAGCAAAGCUUUGAAUGUGAAUAUUGUCAAGAUACCAUGAGGACUAAAAUCUGACAUUUGUGAUCAUGUUUGAUGACACUCUUAGACUCGCUCAUGUAGCAUAACCAUAUAUAUACCAUGUUUGUGUAGCACAUUUCAAGAAAAGCAUGAACGAAGCCUAUUUUCAACUAAAGCGGUGUUAGUUUCAUGUAUGUGUUAUAAAUACACACAAGCAUGCCUAAUAUGAGUUUUUUUUAAAUAUCUUGUAUGUUUAGAAAGCAAGCAUGCUAGACCUUGUGAAUUCAUGACUUUGAAUGGCCUUAAAUUGUUAAAAUGAGCAACUUAGAACCAUGUUAUGAAAGAAGGAACCUAGAUUGACUUAAGGAGCAUGAAAAGACCUUUAACAUGAUAAAUAUAUUAUGUGUUAUUGUUUUGGUUGAGCUGGAGAGAAACCACAAGGCAGCAGCUGAGUCUUGGAAUGACCAUAGGACGACGCAGCUGCGCCGGUCCUAGGCUUAGCCAUGGCGCAACUGCGCCAGUCUGGAAUCCCAGAUAGUGAAUUCUGACUUUUGGACAGCAACUUUCAUGAUGCCUAUGAUGCUAAAUGUGAUCUAAAACCUACUGAUGUAUAUAUAUAUGAGUGAUGCCUAGUUGAUAAUUCGGUGUUGCAUUGAAAUGAAAAGUCCAUGAGUAGGAGGUCUUAACCUUGAGCAUUCUUGAUUUGCUUGUGAAGUAACUAAGUAGUUGAUUCAUGAUGACUUAUAAACUGAUUUUGUACCAUAUGUGCAUACUUGUAUCGUGUCGAGCUUGAUUAAGGACGAUGUUAGCUAAUGAACACUGUAUAUUUAUAAUACGUUAUACUAGGAUUCUAAAGUGUUGAUUUAUUAACGUGGAUAAACUACGCUUAAGGCAAGUUUCUCUAACAUUACUCAAAUUUAUAUUGAGCAAGUAUCCGAACCUUACUCUUAUUGUGCAAGUAUAAUUACAUUCUUUAUUCGACAAAUACCGUAAGCUUAUCCCUUUGAAUACAAGUUAUAUUACUUUCUCGUUCAAAUGAGCUAGUAUUUUAAACCCUUAUGAAAGCUGUUAUUCAUGUUGAACUUGGUAUUGUCCAUUGAAUAUUGUGAAAGAGUCGAUGUCAUUUGAUUCGGCUAGACUAUAUGCAUGUUUAUAAAAAAAAACUGUCCAAACCAAUUAAGUGGUGCGAAAAUCUUGAAAACUAAGUUGAACAACCCCUUUGGUAAAGGGAGUGUAUGUCGUUGGAAACCCCAACACAUGAAUGAAUAUUAUUGUGGUGUUAUGCAUAACGUAUAGUAUUGUAGAUUGAUCAUCUAUAGUACUUGAUAUUUUAAGGUUAUCAGUUUAAUAUUGGUAACUCUAGUGGAAGUUCAAUAGUCCUUAGUGACUGCUCAGUAUAAAUUGUUAUCCAGUUGGAUACCUUGAUAGUCGUUGAAUUCAUAUAUAUUUGUUGAUUUAUAUUGAAUUAUCGUUCUUAUUCAAAGAAUUGUUGAUAUUUCUUACCCAUGAUGUUAUUCUGAUACUUUGAACUAUCCUAGAAAUGGCACUCCGAUAUUUCAAACCUUAUGAUAUUAUAUCCUAUACCCUUGUUGUAUAUUACUUGUUGGACAAUUUGUGCUCAUCCUUGCUUUUAAAAAAACCUUUCAGUUAAGGCAGAACAGGGAAGUGUAUCCGGGCAGGACAAGGGCAAGGGCAAGGCUACCGACUAGCUUGUCCUUUUUAUGUUCAAAGUCUAUUAUGUUGUAUUAAGACUAUUUCAGACUAUGUUUAAGCUUAAGUAGGAUCAUGUAAUAAGUCUUUAUUAGAUAUUAUUAUGUAAUCUAUUAAGCACUGUAGGUUACGAGACUUGGGGGAAUAAUUAUAAUAAAUUAUUGUAUAUUAUUUUAAAGUAGAUUUUUCGUUGUGUAUGCGUUAUUUUAGAUAUUGUGGUUUUACCAUGAGAACGUGAUGAACCGAAUUUGAGGGACCAAGUGGAGGUCCGAAUUUGGGGGUGUCACAGGUUGGUAUCAAAGCUAUAGUUAUAAACUUUAGGAACGAGAGUCCUUAGAUUAUAACUUAAGAAAACUUAGAGGUUAGGAAGGGAUAAAAAUCACGUAGAGUUUUCCCAAAGAGACUUAACGUGUUAUGAAAUGUAACUUCAUUCUAUACAAUGAACUUAUGUUUAUUUAACAUUCUGAUGGAGUUGUUUUUUGUCUUGUCUUAUGUUGGUGAUUGUAGGAUGACUGACAUUGGAGGACCUAGUCGAGUAGUUGAGGAGGAACCGCGUGAUAUCCACGUAGUCUAUGAGACACUCGUGAUAGCGGAGCCUAUAUCGGUAGUUGUCCCUAUUAGUGAUGAUGAUGAGGAGGAGGAGAUGGUACCUCUACCUGAGGAGUCUAAUCCGGAGAAGGAGCCUAUGGAGGAGGAACCCGUGGAGGAACCCGAGCCCAUGGAGGACUCCGACGAGACUACUUUUGAGGAUUGGAUGUUGGGAGUAUGAAGAAUAGAUUUUGGAAUUAGGAUGUAGAGUCGAAGAGCUGGUGUGACGCCCCCAAAUCCGGGUACUUGAAACCCGAACUCGGUGCUUCACGAUACCAUUUCUAUAAGCUGAAUAAUACUAAUAAUAAUAACAAUAAUAUAAAAUUCAAACUUAAUUUACAUAUGCAUCAAAGUUUACUCCCAGGUACGAGACCUUUAAACAUUCAUUACAUCAUAGAUAAUAAGUAUCAUUUUCUUAAUAAACUAUAACUAUUACACAACAUUAUAUAAAUCUCAUUCGAACAACUUUCAUUUCCCCUUGUUCUUGCCUGAACCUUCUGGUUGAUCAUACUUAACUGAAAACAUUUAAAUUUAAAGCAAGAAUGAGCAUUGGAUUGCCCAGCAAGUAAUAACAACAAUAUAUAUUAGCUGAAAGAAUUAAAUAUUUUUUUUGAAAGACACUUCUACAACGAAUCAACAGUUGUGAAGUAAGCUGAACCAAUAAUAACAACAUAUCACUUCCACAUGUAAUCUUUGAAACUACGUAUAAACUAUAAUUGGAGAUCAGUCGACAGACUAUGAACAUUGUUUUUUUUUUAUUUUAGCUAGGGUUUAGCAGAACUUCAUCCGUAAACCGUCAUAACUUACGGACACGAGGGUGAUCUGCCCAAUGUGCCAUGUAUUGAUCAAUACUACAUGCAAGAACGAUAUCAUCGUUCACUCUAUCCACCUUAGGUGCACAAAAAUUUUUCCAUAUUCGGGAUGUUCAUACUUAGUUGGGAAUCCGAACCAAAAUAAUCUGGUUGGAUACAAUAACGUUCUAUCUUGUUCAACAAUAUUUUUAUGUCUAGCUGAAUCAAAUAGCUUAGACGGCUUUUAAGUCAACGUAUACAUACUUGAAAUCAAUAAGUAUGUAUCAAC
rnacentral:lncRNA from 1 species